UUAGGGCAAAACCAUCAAUAUACUUAGCAGAUUUCAGUAAGGAAGAAAGAUCGAGAGGAGAAUGUCAAGCCUAUGCCCAUCAGAAAUUAAGAAUGCAUGGCCAGAGCUUGUUGGAAUAGAUGGAAAUUGUGCAGCAGCUAUUAUAGAAAGAGAGAACAAAUAUGUGAAAGCAAUCGUGCUCAAGGAUGGAACACCUACAACAAAAGAUAUCCAAUGCUGGAGGGUCUGGGUUUGGGUGGAUGAAAAUAAUGUGGUCAUUCGAACUCCUGAAGCGGGUUAAAAAAUAAACGUCAUGUAAUAUCAAAUAAAAAGUCUCUGUACUUUGAGACUUUCAGAAUAAAUAUUUGAGUUGUAUGGGUUGAUAUACCUAAUUAUGCAAUUAAAAGUUGGAUUGCAACUCAAUUAUAAAAGUUGAUUAAAAUAUUAA